rnacentral:rRNA from 1 species
ACAUGCAAGUCGAACGAACUCUGGUAUUGAUUGGUGCUUGCAUCAUGAUUUACAUUUGAGUGAGUGGCGAACUGGUGAGUAACACGUGGGAAACCUGCCCAGAAGCGGGGGAUAACACCUGGAAACAGAUGCUAAUACCGCAUAACAACUUGGACCGCAUGGUCCGAGUUUGAAAGAUGGCUUCGGCUAUCACUUUUGGAUGGUCCCGCGGCGUAUUAGCUAGAUGGUGAGGUAACGGCUCACCAUGGCAAUGAUACGUAGCCGACCUGAGAGGGUAAUCGGCCACAUUGGGACUGAGACACGGCCCAAACUCCUACGGGAGGCAGCAGUAGGGAAUCUUCCACAAUGGACGAAAGUCUGAUGGAGCAACGCCGCGUGAGUGAAGAAGGGUUUCGGCUCGUAAAACUCUGUUGUUAAAGAAGAACAUAUCUGAGAGUAACUGUUCAGGUAUUGACGGUAUUUAACCAGAAAGCCACGGCUAACUACGUGCCAGCAGCCGCGGUAAUACGUAGGUGGCAAGCGUUGUCCGGAUUUAUUGGGCGUAAAGCGAGCGCAGGCGGUUUUUUAAGUCUGAUGUGAAAGCCUUCGGCUCAACCGAAGAAGUGCAUCGGAAACUGGGAAACUUGAGUGCAGAAGAGGACAGUGGAACUCCAUGUGUAGCGGUGAAAUGCGUAGAUAUAUGGAAGAACACCAGUGGCGAAGGCGGCUGUCUGGUCUGUAACUGACGCUGAGGCUCGAAAGUAUGGGUAGCAAACAGGAUUAGAUACCCUGGUAGUCCAUACCGUAAACGAUGAAUGCUAAGUGUUGGAGGGUUUCCGCCCUUCAGUGCUGCAGCUAACGCAUUAAGCAUUCCGCCUGGGGAGUACGGCCGCAAGGCUGAAACUCAAAGGAAUUGACGGGGGCCCGCACAAGCGGUGGAGCAUGUGGUUUAAUUCGAAGCUACGCGAAGAACCUUACCAGGUCUUGACAUACUAUGCAAAUCUAAGAGAUUAGACGUUCCCUUCGGGGACAUGGAUACAGGUGGUGCAUGGUUGUCGUCAGCUCGUGUCGUGAGAUGUUGGGUUAAGUCCCGCAACGAGCGCAACCCUUAUUAUCAGUUGCCAGCAUUAAGUUGGGCACUCUGGUGAGACUGCCGGUGACAAACCGGAGGAAGGUGGGGAUGACGUCAAAUCAUCAUGCCCCUUAUGACCUGGGCUACACACGUGCUACAAUGGAUGGUACAACGAGUUGCGAACUCGCGAGAGUAAGCUAAUCUCUUAAAGCCAUUCUCAGUUCGGAUUGUAGGCUGCAACUCGCCUACAUGAAGUCGGAAUCGCUAGUAAUCGCGGAUCAGCAUGCCGCGGUGAAUACGUUCCCGGGCCUUGUACACACCGCCCGUCACACCAUGAGAGUUUGUAACACCCAAAGUCGGUGGGGUAACCUUUUAGGAACCAGCCGCCU